AANGCUNNNGCUCGGUNGUNGAGUUCAUGAGUGCCUUCUCUUCGGAGUUGGCCAUCCAUACACACCGUGAACUGUGGCUUCGGCCAUCACAAACUGUUAGUAAUGAAUGUAAUAUCAUAACAAAAACAAAACUUUUAACAACGGAUCUCUUGGCUCUCGCAUCGAUGAAGAACGCAGCGAAAUGCGAUAAGUAAUGUGAAUUGCAGAAUUCAGUGAAUCAUCGAAUCUUUGAACGCACCUUGCGCCCUUUGGUAUUCCGAAGGGCAUGCCUGUUUGAGUGUCAUGAAACCUCACCCCACUUGGGUUUUUGCCUGAGCGGUGGUGUAUUGGGUGUUGCCUUGCCAAAGGCUCGCCUUAAAAACAUAAGCACCUUGGAUGUAAUACGUUUCAUCCUUCUGGGUGGCUGAUAACCCCACAUAUUCAUGAUCUGGCCUCAAAUCAGGUAGGGCUACCCGCUGAACUUAAGCAUAUCAAUAGGCGGGAGGAA
rnacentral:rRNA from 1 species